UGCCAAUCGGAUCGACAAAGGACCACCCGAUCACGUGCCCAAUGGGGGACGCUGCGCCCCCCAUUGGGAGCCUAAAAAUGCCGCCAAUGAUGCUCUGCGUGGCGGAGACUGAUCUGUUCAUGGACCGUGAAAUGGAAUAUUACGAGGCCGUGAAAAAAGCAAGGAAAGAUGUUGAGCUGUUCUUAAGUGCUGGAGUGAGUCAUUGUUUCUACUUGAACAAAAUUGCAGUCGAUUUAGAUCCUCUAACAUCUACACGAACUGAAGAAUUGAUUGCAGCAAUAACAGAAUUCAUCAAGAGCCACUAAGUUCUGGUUUGUAUUGCAUUGAGAUGCUAUUAUGCGUUUGUGGUAAUGAUUUCGAACUAUUUAUGUACUUGUCUUAUCUAUUGCUUUUUCGAAUCCUUCAACUUUCUGUAGUUUUUCACUGUAUAAGACUUUGUAUUCAUAGAUAAAAAAUCAGGUUUCGCAUCUUAAUUAUCAUAACAAGUUCGAAUAGUACAGUAUUAUUUCCUCAAGGAUGAAACUGAGAUUCUUAGCCCUUUUCUCCCAUAGAGACAAUGACCCUGUUUAUCAAUUAUCAAUUAGUUAUUAGCGGAUAGACACUUUUAGUAGGCUUAUCAUAAUAGUUGUUUUCAGACCCUCUACUAUAAUCCAAAUUCGUUUUUUUUCCUCGACUCCUAGCAUUUAAAGAGGAUAAUUGGGCGGUUUGGCUAGCUUAAAAAAAAAAUGAAGGCAGAAGCAGCUUCUGUUUCUCCUAACCAAACAGGCCCGAUAUAUAAAGUGCAGUUAUCUUUUCCGCAACCGAGAUAAUCGAGGCUUCUUUCAUGGUGGAACACAUUGUCAUAUUCCUCGGGAAGUCAUAUAUUUUGCUAUUAAGCAAAAUGUGAUGAUAUAACAAUAAUAUUUGGAUAUAUCUACUGUUGUUGCAUUUUCAUGACAAGUUAUCAAAAUAAUGUAAAAAAAAACGCAUUCUGCUUGUUCUGUAACAGAAUGUCAAACUUGAGAUUUUAAUUUACUUCCGCAGGCGGCUCUAGGAAGCUAAAACUCCUAGUGGCUUUGUUAAAUAAAAACCAAAAGAUUAAACAACGAACACGUUACUAUUUCAAGAAAACAUCUUCUGACUUGCUCUGGUACUAAACGUCAAGUUGAAUAUAAAAUUACAAUUUCAUUCCAUAGUUGUAAUCUCAAAUUCCUUUUUUUACUCAAAAGAAAGCCAUCACACAAAAAUAAUCGUGUCAUUAUUUUAUGAGAUUUACAUCUCAUCACUACAGUAACUUGAAGUUAAGAAAACACUAAGCAACAAUAACGUUAGUUAGGCGCUUUAUAAUACUCACCAUAUGAUCUGGUUGACAUUAGUUAGCAAUUUUUUUUAUCACAAUUUGAUCCCUCAGCGUAAUCUCACUUCUCAAAGUAUUUGUCUUCUACACAUGAAGUCUAUAAAAUUACAGCAAUAUCUCACUCUUCACAUAACAUUACCAAUGGUUAACGAAAAGAAAUUAGUCGAGGAUGUCUCUGGCUGGCUCAGAGUUUAUGAUGAUGGCUCCGUCGACAGAACAUGGACCGGUCCGCCCGAAGUUAGCUUUAUGACGGAUACGGUCAUGCCUCAUGAAAAUUUUGUCGACGGAGUUGCUGUUAAGGACGUAGAUACGGACUCGGGAGCCCGAGUCCGUAUCUACUUGCCAGAAAAAAAUAAUUCGGAUUCGGCAACUUUGCCUAUCAUCCUUCAUUUUCACGGAGGGGGCUUUUGCAUAAGCGAAGCCAGUUGGUUCAUGUACUAUGCUGUGUACACUAGACUAGCUCGCUCCUCGCGCUCUAUAGUCGUCUCUGUCUACCUGCGGAGAGCUCCAGAGCAUCGCCUCCCAGCAGCUUGCGAAGACAGCUACAACGCACUCCUUUGGCUCCGUUCAUUAGCCAAAGGAGACCUGCACGAGGCCUGGCUUAAUGCAAACGCCGACUUCACACGGGUGUUCCUCAUGGGAGACAGCACCGGUGGGAAUCUUGUGCAUCAAGUUGCAUCUCGUGCAGGGAGCGAGGGGCUAGAGCUAAAGCUUAGCCCCUCGCAUGUGGCAGGAGGAAUCCUGGUCCAGCCAGGAUUCGUCCGCGCUACAAGAAGUAAAUCAGAGUUGGAGCAGCCACAAUCUCCGUUCUUGACACUAGACAUGAUGGACAAAUUCUUGAGCUUUGCCUUGCCACUUGGAUCCACAAAGGACCACCCCAUCACAUGCCCAAUGGGGGCCGCUGCGCCCCCGAUGAGCAGCCUGAAAAUGCCCCCAAUGCUGCUCUGCGUGGCAGAGACUGAUCUGAUGAUCGAUACUGAGAUGGAGUAUUAUGAGGCCAUGAAAAAAGCAGGGAAAGAUGUUGAGCUGUUCUUGAGUCCAGGAGUUGGGCAUGGUUUCUAUAUGAACAAGAUUGCAAGCGAUUUGGAUCCGGUAACAGCUACACGUACCCAAGAACUGAUUGCAGCAAUCACAGAUUUCAUUAAGAAGCAUUAAGUUCAACAGUUUGUUUGUGCAUUGACUUGCUAUCACGUGUUUGUUAGUUAACAAGGUUUUAUCAUUUAUGCAUGUACUGAUGUACAUUUCGUAUUUUUCAUGUGAAGCUAAAAUAUUUACUGAAAAUUUACCAAACACUUGAAGAAGUUCCAGGCCUCCAUGUCGAAGGUUCUUGCUGAUGUAUCUUGUUAAUUAAUUGCUACUUGAGAGCUGAGACCUGAGAUGAAGUCCGAUGAAUUAGAUUGAGCUCUUGCUAUAACUUAGUAUCAAAACUUGUUUUUUGAUGUUAAAUUAACAAAUAUGUAUUCAAUUUUGUCAACAAAAAAAAAAGUAUUCAAUGAUGCUAUAUUCCACUAUUUUAUUGAUAAAUUUAAUUUUUCAAAUUAAUUUUACAUCAAGGACUCAUUAUAUUUAUUUUUGACCAACUCUUCAGGCAAACUUACUGAGAGGGCCUGUGUUUACAUUUUUUUGGUCUAUUUGUUUUAUAUUUAGAACAUAUUAUAACAUUGUUCAAUUUUAGCAUAAGAUAUAGAAAAUGAUUUUUAGUUUUUAUUUAAUAAUAAAAUUAUAGAGUAAGAUAUAACACUGGAUUUGCUCUGACAGAUUUAAUUUUUACAAAUCAUUAAUACAUACAUAAUAUAUAAUUCAAAAUUUAUUACUUAUUAUUUAAUUUUAAACAUAUUUUAUUUAAUUGUUGGAAAGAAAUUCGGAAUUCUACAAUGGUGUUAUGAAUUUCUUAAAUAUAUGCAAAUGAGUAGUAAAAUGUAAAUAACUUCUUGAUUUUAAUGUGUCAAUAUCGGUAGUUUUUACUCUCUUUUUUUUUCACUUUAUAACUAAAUUAAUCACAGAGUAAAACGCUUUUGAUGAUCAUGUGUGCCGCAGAGAGCCAACGAUGCUCGUGAUUCGUUAGCCACACGCUGAAGUUUAAUCAAAAGAGGUAUGUUCCACAUGCUUACAAAUAAUCAAAAGAGGUAUGGCUGCUUCCUCCAGUCAAAAGAAGGUUAAUUACCGGAAAUGAAAGGCUUUGAAAAUUGACACAAUCCUUAAUUGCUUUACACAGAUUAGUCGCACUAAUUAACUAGAAAAUGAUUGAUACAAUUGCAUAGGGCUGCUCUUUUUGCUAGUGUGUCUCCACUGACAAGUUUCUGUUUUGUGGUCCUAAUUUGUGAACAAAUAUAUACAUAGCAGAAAUAACUUCUAAAAUAUAAUAUAUAGAAAGUUUUUAUUAGUUUGAUCAAUCAUACUCCAUAGUUUACAAUCAUAAUUAAUGAUCCGAUUCUACGCAUCUAAAUUUUAUAUCAGUAAUCAGAAUCAAGCUUUGAUUAUACGUACGUAAAAAUUACUCCCAUAAGGAGAAAUUCUUCGAAAUCGAGCUAGAAGCAAUGGGGGGACAGACGGGUACAAAGUCUCUGUCAAAUUAUUGUACGCUUCCUAACUGAAUUAUAACACGGGGUAACCCGGUUUGUCCUUUCAAAACAACCACCUUCGAUUUGUGUCAGUAAAAUUUUAAAUUUAAGACAACGGUCAACCAAAAAAUUCUCAUAAAAUAUGUUUUAAGUAGUGGAAAAAAUUAUAAAAAAAAUUAAGAAUGACGAAUGAAAUAUUUCACAAUUCACUAUUUGCCGUUAAAAUUGAUUUUAAAAUCUCGAUUGAUUUUAUAAACUAUAAUUUGUCAUAUAGAUCCGAUUAAUUCAGAAUUAAUAAUACUCAAGUUCAGUUUGGUUAAAUUUAUAAAAUUACCGAUGGGUAACAAGAACAUUCAAAUACUAGUACGCGAUCCUGACAAAAAAAAUAAAACUAGUGCGUGACAAUUGACGUCGACGAAAAUGUUGGACAAUUUUAUUUGAUUCAUAUGUAAUUGGGCCUGUAAUUGAUAAUUAAAAGCUCAAAUUCAUAUACUCAAUUUAUAUAACUAUUUUAGGUGCCGAGUAGUACAGUGGAAUCCAUGUUUUCCUGACAAUUUCCGAUCACUAACUUCCGUGGUUGUUAUCCAGUGAAGUUUCUAGUGUUGAAAACAGACUUAAAAACAUUUAUUCAAAGAAAUAAAAGUCUCCACAGCCUUUCACACUUGAUUUUCGAAUUUUAUUGAAGAAUGUUUGGUUUAACUAACUGGUACGCGCCUAUUUUUCCAACGUACAAGAGGACUGUUGACUAUUCCUUCACUAACAAAUACUCCCUCCGUCCCACCAGAUUCUUUACAGUUUCCUUAUUUGGCCGUCCCAUCCAUUUCUUUACAUUACAAAACUUUCCUAAAAUAGUUAAUGGGACACGCCACUUUCUCACUUUUUCUUCCUUUUCACACUACUUUUACUCCACUAUCUCUUUUUUAUAUAUUAAAAAUCAGUGGGUCUCACCACUUCACCCACUUUUUCUUCCCUUUUCUACUACUUUAUACAUAUUUCUUAACCUCCGUGCCCAAACCCAAUGUAAAGAAUUGGGUGGGACGGAGGGAGUAUUAACUAAAAUCGUCAAACAGCUGAAUUAUAUGCCAAUAUAAAAAAGUUAAAUAACAAAUUAAUGCCAUCUCAAAAAAUUAGAAAAACUGUCCCGAUUAAAGACCGCUUGAUAAUUGAUUAGCUAUAAUAAAAUUUUCGUUAUUUUUUGCAACUAUAUAAAUUACCUAAAUGUUGCGAAUUGUUUCCAUAUCUUUUAUCAGUUUAAUCUUUUACCAACUAUUACUGGCUCAAAAUAUAGUUUCAUAAUUUUUUUAAAUAGAAAUUUAAAAAUCAAAUUUUUAUAUAGAAAAAAAAUUCAAAAAUAUAUUAUGAAAUUAUACUUUAAAUAAGUCUUAAAAAACGUGUCAAUAAGUAACAUGAACAAACGAGAGAUACGGGAGAGUAUGUGAAUUAGUUCGUAAUCAACUGUAUUUAUCUUAUCUUGAAAUUUCCUCAUUUGAUUAGUCGUUAGACUUCUUGUCAAGUUUUCUCUUUGCGUUCCUUUAAUUUUCCAUGAAGAGUUGGUUAAAUUACACGGAAAUAACUAGGGAAAACAUAGUGACCCCAUUCCAUUUGUUUAGAGAAUCUCAACCCCUCCAAAAGCACUAUAAAAACAGACCAAUAUCUCACUCUUUAACACAUCAUUACCAUCAAACAUUCAAACACAUACUCAUAUCAUUUUACAAAACCUCAUUUCACAGCAAACAAAAAAUCAAAAAUGGUCCACCAGAAAAAGGUAGUCGAGGAAGUCUCUGGCUGGCUCAGAGUUUACGAUGAUGGCUCUGUCGACAGAACAUGGACCGGUCCACCCGAAGUCAGCUUUAUGGCUGAACCGGUCAUGCCUCAUGAAAAUUUUGUCGACGGAGUUGCUGUCAAGGACGUAGAUACGGACUCAGGAACCCGAGUCCGUAUCUACUUACCAGAAAAAAAGGCUACAGAUUCUGAAACCUUGCCUAUCAUCCUUCAUUUCCACGGAGGUGGCUUUUGCAUUAGCGAAGCCGAUUGGUUUAUGUACUAUGCUGUGUACACUAGACUAGCUCGCACCUCUCGUUCCAUAGUAGUCUCGGUCUACCUCCCGAGAGCUCCCGAGCAUCGUCUCCCAGCAGCUUGCGACGCAAGCUACUUUGCUCUCCUCUGGCUCCGUUCUAUAGCCAGAGGAAAGCUGCACGAGACGUGGCUUAAUGCACACGCAGACUUCACCCGUGUGUUCCUCAUUGGAGACAGCUCGGGUGGGAAUCUCGUGCACGAGGUCUCGGCUCGUGCAGGGGCCGAGGACCUCAGCCCCUUGCGUGUGGCAGGAGCGAUCCCGAUUCACCCCGGAUUCGUCCGUGCCACACGAAGCAAAUCUGAGCUGGAGCAGCCACAAUCUCCGUUCCUGACACUAGACAUGCUGGACAAAUUUCUAAAUUUCGCUCUGCCAAUCGGAUCGACAAAGGACCAUCCGAUCACGUGUCCGAUGGGGGACGCUGCGCCCCCCAUUGGGAGCAUAAAAAUGCCGCCAAUGAUGCUCUGCGUGGCGGAGACUGAUCUGAUCAUUGACACUGAGAUGGAAUAUUAUGAGGCCAUGAAAAAAGCAGGGAAAGAUGUUGAGUUGUAUCUUAGUGGUGGAGUGGGACACAG
rnacentral:lncRNA from 1 species